rnacentral:rRNA from 1 species
UUGAACGCUGGCGGCAUGCCUUACACAUGCAAGUCGAACGGUAACAGCUCUUCGGAGGCUGACGAGUGGCGAACGGGUGAGUAAUACAUCGGAACGUGCCCGAUCGUGGGGGAUAACGGAGCGAAAGCUUUGCUAAUACCGCAUACGAUCUACGGAUGAAAGCAGGGGACCCUCGGGCCUUGCGCGAACGGAGCGGCCGAUGGCAGAUUAGGUAGUUGGUGGGAUAAAAGCCUACCAAGGCGACGAUCUGUAGCGGGUCUGAGAGGAUGAUCCGCCACACUGGGACUGAGACACGGCCCAGACUCCUACGGGAGGCAGCAGUGGGGAAUUUUGGACAAUGGGCGAAAGCCUGAUCCAGCCAUGCCGCGUGCGGGAAGAAGGCCUUCGGGUUGUAAACCGCUUUCAGCCGGAAAGAAAUCGCCACUUCUAAUACGAGUGGUGGAUGACGGUACCGGAAGAAGAAGCACCGGCUAACUACGU